GACGAACGCUGGCGGCGUGCCUAAUACAUGCAAGUCGAACGCAGUGGGGACGGGUGAGUAACACGUGGGUAACCUCCCAUCAGAGGGGAUAACACUUGGAAACAGGUGCUAAACCGAUACUGAUGGAUGGACCCGCGGUGCAUUAGCUCGUUGGUGAGGUAACGGCACACCAAGGCCACGAUGCAUAGGCGACCUGGGCGGGUGGUCAGCCACACUGGGCGUGAGACACGGCCCAGACUCCUACGGGAGGCAGCAGUAGGGAAAUGUCGGCAAUGGACGAAAGUCUGACCGAGCAAAGCCGCGUGAGUGAAGAAGGUUUUCGGAUCGUAAAACUCUGUUGUUAGAGAAGCGGUAUCUAACCAGAAAGCAACGGCUAACUACGUGCCAGCAGCCGCGGUAAUUC
rnacentral:rRNA from 1 species